CCUACGGGAGGCAGCAGUGGGGAAUAUUGGACAAUGGGGGGAACCCUGAUCCAGCCAUGCCGCGUGUGUGAAGAAGGCCCUCGGGUUGUAAAGCACUUUCAGUGAGGAAGAACGCCUGGUGGUUAAUACCCAUCAGGAAAGACAUCACUCACAGAAGAAGCACCGGCUAACUCCGUGCCAGCAGCCGCGGUAAUACGGAGGGUGCGAGCGUUAAUCGGAAUUACUGGGCGUAAAGCGCGCGUAGGUGGCUUGAUAAGCCGGUUGUGAGAGCCCCGGGCUCAACCUGGGAACGGCAUCCGGAACUGUCAAGCUAGAGUGCAGGAGAGGAAGGUAGAAUUCCCGGUGUAGCGGUGAAAUGCGUAGAGAUCGGGAGGAAUACCAGUGGCGAAGGCGGCCUUCUGGACUGACACUGACACUGAGGUGCGAAAGCGUGGGUAGCAAACAGGAUUAGAUACCCCGGUAGUC
rnacentral:rRNA from 1 species